GGGUCCCGCAGCCGCCGAAUUUUGUUCUAACCAUGUCUCGCCAUCGUGAGUGGGAGCUCUCCUGCAAGGUGUACGUUGGGAACUUGGGCAACAACGCCUCCAAGCAUGAGCUUGAAUCUGCCUUCAGCAAAUAUGGUCCACUCCGCAAUGUGUGGGUGGCAAGGAACCCACCUGGUUUUGCAUUUGUCGAGUUCGAGGACCCGAGGGAUGCUGAGGAUGCAGUGAGAGGAUUGGACGGAACCCGUUGUUGUGGGGAAAGGAUGCGUGUGGAGAUGUCUAAUGGGCGCAGUCGGAACCGUGGUGGAUUCGGUGGUGGCGGCGGCGGCGGUGGUGGCUUUGGCCGUGGCAGACAAGGCAGAUCAAGGCCACUACUGACUCCUACACUACCUCAUCACUCGCCUGACAUCUCGUUCCGAUUAGUCUAUCCAACAUGAUUCUGGCUGCAAUGAACGGUCAAUCAACUUGAACGAUAGUCCUGCCAUCAAGCGCGGUCUAAUUCCGCUGCACUACCAUGCAACAACUACUACUUCUACUACUUCCAUCACCACCACCCCUGUCAGAUCACAAUUGGCUGCCUUUCUUCCUACCCCAAGUGGCCAUUCUACAUUCGCCUCGCUCGCUACUUCUGCCAACGUUCAGCCAACCAGAUGGUCUCCCUCUCCUCGCCGCUCUCCGCGCAGGCGGUCUCACUCUCGCAGCCGCAGCCGUUCUCCGAGGAGAUCACGAUCGGACUCCAGGGAUAGACGAUGAGCGUAUACCUGCUUCUCACCCUGAGGAGACCAUCUUUCAUUUUGUGCUAUUAUUUGAUAUUUAAAUAAUUUUUGGUGUAACUGACUAUUAUUUUGCCUCAACAUUAAUUAUAAAUGCUUCUCACCAAUGUUGACAAUUAUGUUCUCAAUGUGACUCAGUAUAAACAACCUUUAUCUGUGAGAUUUUACUGUAUUUACAGACAUUAAUAAAUCAAAGAACCCUGA
rnacentral:misc_RNA from 1 species